UACGGGGGGGGCAAGCGUUGUUCGGAAUUCCUGGGCGUAAAGGGUUUGUAGGUGGCCCGCUAAGUCACACGUGAAAUCCCUCAGCUUAACUGGGGAACUGCGUGUGAGACUGGCAGGCUCGAGGGCAGGAGAGGAACGCGGAAUUCCAGGUGUAGCGGUGAAAUGCGUAGAUAUCUGGAGGAACACCGGUGGCGAAGGCGGCGUUCUGGACUGUCUCUGACACUGAAGAACGAAAGCCAGGGGAGCAAACGGG
rnacentral:rRNA from 1 species